CCUACGGGGGGCAGCAGUUAGGAAUCAUUUGCAAUGCGCGAAAGCGUGACAAUUUGAACCAGAGUGCUUCUCACUUGAGAAGCUUUUGCCAAAUGUAAAAAGUUUGGCGAAUAAGGACUGGGUAAGACGAGUGCCAGCCGCCGCGGUAAUACUCGCGGUCCAAGUCGCAGCCAUCUUUAUUGGGUCUAAAACAUCCGUAGCUUGCCCGGUAAGUUCCUUGUGAAAUCUUAUCUCUUGAAGAUGAGGCGCGCAAGGAGUACUGCCAGGCUAGAGACCGGCAGACGCAGGAAGUAUGUUCGAAGUAGCGGUAAAAUGCAUUAAUCUCGGACAGACUCACAACAGCGAAGGCAUCCUGCGAGGACGGUUCUGACUGUAAGGGAUGAAGGCUAGGGGCGCAAAACGGAUUAGAUACCCCAGUAGUC
rnacentral:rRNA from 1 species